UACAGAGGAUGCAAGCGUUAUCCGGAAUGAUUGGGCGUAAAGCGUCUGUAGGUGGCUUUUUAAGUCCGCCGUCAAAUCCCAGGGCUCAACUCUGGACAGGCGGUGGAAACUACCAAGCUGGAGUACGGUAGGGGCAGAGGGAAUUUCCGGUGGAGCGGUGAAAUGCGUAGAGAUCCGGAAGAACACCGGUGGCGAAGGCGGCCUGCUGGGCAGUUGCUGACACUGAGGCGCGACAGCGUGGGGAGCAAACAGG
rnacentral:rRNA from 1 species